ACGAACGCUGGCGGCGUGCUUAACACAUGCCAGUCGAACGGAAAGGCCCUGCUUGCAGGGUACUCGAGUGGCGAACGGGUGAGUAACACGUGGGUGAUCUGCCCUGCACUUCGGGAUAAGCCUGGGAAACUGGGUCUAAUACCGGAUAGGAGCCAUUUUUCGUGUGAUGGUUGGAAAGUUUUUUCGGUGUAGGAUGAGCUCGCGGCCUAUCAGCUUGUUGGUGGGGUAAUGGCCUACCAAGGCGGCGACGGGUAGCCGGCCUGAGAGGGUGGACGGCCACAUUGGGACUGAGAUACGGCCCAGACUCCUACGGGAGGCAGCAGUGGGGAAUAUUGCACAAUGGGCGCAAGCCUGAUGCAGCGACGCCGCGUGGGGGAUGACGGCCUUCGGGUUGUAAACUCCUUUCGCUAGGGACGAAGCUUUUUGUGACGGUACCUAGAUAAGAAGCACCGGCUAACUACGUG
rnacentral:rRNA from 1 species